rnacentral:rRNA from 1 species
UACGGAAGUGGCCAGCGUUGUUCGGAAUCACUGGGCGUAAAGAGCGCGUAGGCGGCUUAGCAAGUUGGGGGUGAAAUCCCGGAGCUCAACUCCGGAACUGCCUUUAAAACUGGCAGGCUCGAGUGCGGAAGAGGGGCGUGGAAUGCCCAGUGUAGAGGUGAAAUUCGUAGAUAUUGGGAAGAACACCGGUGGCGAAGGCGGCGGCCUGGGCCGGUACUGACGCUGAGGCGCGAAAGCGUGGGGAGCAAACAGG